GAUGAACGCUGGCGGCGUGCCUAACACAUGCAAGUCGAGCGUGAUUAAGUGGAGUGAGGACUUCGGUCUGAGUGAAACUUAUGAAAGCGGCGGACGGGUGAGUAACGCGUGGGCAACCUGCCCCAUACAAAGGGAUAGCCACUGGAAACGGUGAUUAAUACCUUAUAAGUCGGUAGUCUCGCAUGAGAUAGCCGACAAAGAUUUAUCGGUAUGGGAUGGGCCCGCGUCUGAUUAGCUAGUUGGUGAGGUAACGGCUCACCAAGGCGACGAUCAGUAGCCGACCUGAGAGGGUGAUCGGCCACACUGGAACUGAGACACGGUCCAGACUCCUACGGGAGGCAGCAGUGGGGAAUAUUGCACAAUGGGCGCAAGCCUGAUGCAGCAACGCCGCGUGAGUGAAGAAGGCCUUCGGGUUGUAAACGUCUGUCCUAUGGUAGAAACGAAAUAGACGGUACCACUGGAGGGAAGACCCCGGCGUAACUACGUGCCAGCAGCC
rnacentral:rRNA from 1 species